UACGUAGGGUGCGAGCGUUAAUCGGAAUUACUGGGCGUAAAGCGUGCGCAGGCGGUUCUAUAAGACAGAUGUGAAAUCCCCGGGCUCAACCUGGGAACUGCAUUUGUGACUGUAGAGCUGGAGUGCGGCAGAGGGGGAUGGAAUUCCGCGUGUAGCAGUGAAAUGCGUAGAUAUGCGGAGGAACACCGAUGGCGAAGGCAAUCCCCUGGGCCUGCACUGACGCUCAUGCACGAAAGCGUGGGGAGCAAACAGG
rnacentral:rRNA from 1 species